UACGUAGGGUGCGAGCGUUAAUCGGAAUUACUAGGCGUAAAGCGUGCGCAGGCGGUUUUGCAAGCCGGAUGUGAAAUCCCCGGGCUUAACCUGGGAAUGGCAUUUGGGACUGCAAGGCUGGAGUGCGGCAGAGGAGACUGGAAUUCCUGGUGUAGCAGUGAAAUGCGUAGAUAUCAGGAGGAACACCGAUGGCGAAGGCAGGUCUCUGGGCUGACACUGACGCUCAUGCACGAAGCGUGGGGAG
rnacentral:rRNA from 1 species